ACGGAAGGCAGCAGUGGGGGAUAUUGCACAAUGGGGGAAACCCUGAUGCAGCGACGCCGCGUGAAGGAAGAAGUAUCUCGGUAUGUAAACUUCUAUCAGCAGGGAAGAUAAUGACGGUACCUGACUAAGAAGCCCCGGCUAACUACGUGCCAGCAGCCGCGGUAAUACGUAGGGGGCAAGCGUUAUCCGGAUUUACUGGGUAUAAAGGGAGCGUAGACGGAAUAGCAAGUCUGAAGUGAAAUGUAGGGGCUCAACCCCUGAACUGCUUUGGAAACUGUUGAUCUUGAGUACCGGAGGGGCAGGCGGAAUUCCUGGUGUAGCGGUGAAAUGCGUAGAUAUCAGGAAGAACACCGGUGGCGAAGGCGGCCUGCUGGACGGUAACUGACGUUGAGGCUCGAAAGCGUGGGGAGCAAACAGGAUUAGAUACCCUGGUA
rnacentral:rRNA from 1 species